rnacentral:rRNA from 1 species
AAUGGACGAGAGUCUGAACCAGCCAAGUAGCGUGAAGGAUGACUGCCCUAUGGGUUGUAAACUUCUUUUAUAUGGGAAUAAAGUUGAGUAUGUAUACUUUUUUGUAUGUACCAUAUGAAUAAGGAUCGGCUAACUCCGUGCCAGCAGCCGCGGUAAUACGGAGGAUCCGAGCGUUAUCCGGAUUUAUUGGGUUUAAAGGGAGCGUAGGUGGAUUGUUAAGUCAGUUGUGAAAGUUUGCGGCUCAACCGUAAAAUUGCAGUUGAAACUGGCAGUCUUGAGUACAGUAGAGGUGGGCGGAAUUCGUGGUGUAGCGGUGAAAUGCUUAGAUAUCACGAAGAACUCCGAUUGCGAAGGCAGCUCACUGGACUGCAACUGACACUGAGUCUCGAAAGUGUGGGUAUCAAA